AUAGGCCCCAAAGGAGAGCACAAUAUGGUUAUUCUACCACAUGGACAUAUUUAAGUGGUUUUGUUUAAAUAUUUAAAUUGUAAUAAAUUGUACCCUGUGCUCUUAUCUUUACGCCCAUAGAUCAGUGCAUCUUUCAACCUUCAACAAAAAGAUGUUUUUCACAGUAGAUGAUAACUUACAGAGACCCACCACUGCUCAAUGUGCAGACCAAUGGACGGAUAGAUGGAAUGGCGUCAGUGAGGAUAACGGCGCACAAGACCAAGUGCCAAGACCAGUGUGACAGGUAGAAGUACCCACAUGGAGACUUCUAGUGAGUUCUGGAAACAAAACUUAUUCUUAAGUGCUGCAGAGAUAAUUUUCUGAAGAUAAAUACACAUUCUGAAGGUACAUAAAACCAUAAAUGAAGACGGGGAGACAGAGAGAGAGACAGAGACAGAGACAGAGACAGAGAGACAGAGACAGAGACAGAGGGACAAAGGGAGAUAGGGACAGAGGGAGAGAGCGGGGGAGGGAGAAGGAGAGGGAGAGAGGAAAGAGAGGGACAGAGGGACAGAGGGAGAGAGGGACAGAGAGAGAGAGAGGGAGGGAGGGAGAGGGAGAGAGAGAGAGAGAGAGAGAGAGAGAGAGAGAGAGAGAGAGAGAGAGAGUCAGAGAGAGUCCAGUAUUUUACUAUUCAGAGCCAGGGCGAUAUUUUUCAAGUUAGAUAUUUUCUAUUUUUCCUUCCUUUUAAGAACUCAAAACUAAUCAUAUGAGACAUAUUUUAGCAUAAAGUGGUUCUUAAAGGUUUCUUUUUAAUUUGAGGAGCAAGGACUGAGUUGCUAACAGGAGGGAUAAAAGAAUUGCAAUGUGUUUGGGUGGUUUGAUAAUGUUUUGAGUCAAAAGAACUAUUUGUUCAGUAGUCAAAACUACAAGAAUUUACUUAUUAAAAUGUGUAAAAUUUUAUUUUCGGUGGCAUAGGGAGGAAGUGUGUACUUAGAACACUUAGAUUUUUUUUAAUGAUUUAUUUAUUCUCGUUUUUAUGUUCAUUGGUAUUUUGCCUGCACAUAUGUCUGUAUGAGGGUGUCAGAUCUGCUGGAACUGGAGUUACAGACUGUUGUAAGCUUCCACGUGGCUGCCGGGAAUUGAACUCAGGUCCUCUGGAAGAGCAGCCAGUGCUCUUAAACACCGAGCCAUCUCCCCAGCCCUAGAACACUUAUAAUGCGGAAUUUGGCUGUUUGCAAAGGACCAAGGAAAUGCUCGGUACGGAUGUUUCCGGGAUCGAUCACAAUUGCCAGACUGAAAAUGUGUCUGUUAAUACAGCGCCUGACACCAUUCGACUCGGCAUUGAUUCUGACUGACCACUGAUUGCUCGUGUCGUGUCUUACAGAGCCUAAGUCAACACUAGAAGAUGACAUUACCUUGAGUGCCACCAAACAGACACCGAAUUCUAAGGCGUUCCUUCGCAUGGCCACUUUUGAAGGGAUCAGGAGCAUCCUAAACACAGUCUGAGCUUUAAGGCCAUGUUGAAUCUGAGACUCUCAAUUCCGUAGACUCCAGGGACUUCCCUAAAGUCUUCAGACUCGGCUGCCUCAUCAUCUUGAAAGGGGGGUGAAGUGUGAACUCCAGGGAUGCCUCAAGGACUGAAGACAAAGCAUGGACGAGACUCCUGAGCUUUCCAGAUCCACUCACGGUUAGCCACUCCAUGGGACGUUAGUCGUGAACACAUUCAGUUAAGAGUUGCCAUGAGGACAAGAAAUACAAGUCCUAGAAACUAUGUCGAAGCCUUCAUAGCUCACGAGAAAGGAAACGAGUUGAACUGUGGCAGGCGAUGUUACCGCUAUCUCUGGUUCCCUCCAGUCCAACAUCUACAGUUGUCAUUCAUACUGGAUGAGUGUGUGGAUCUUGGCGUCACCUCUCAGGGGUGCUAUAGGAUGCUCCAUGGGUCUGUUUUAAGAUUAACUAGAGAGAGUCAUCACCACCAGCAGGCUCACUGCUUUCUCCUAAACAACUUCCACGUUUUUGAACCUAAUGGGCCAACCUGGUUUGCUGACCUGGAAAGAGAGAAAGGAAGAAGCAUUCAAGCUACUAAUGAGCAGCGAAAGGCCAACACCGUGGGAACAGAAGGAGGAAGAGAGAGUUGGAAAGACAAUGAUCAUUCAAAACUAAAAGAAGAGACUCAUGGGUCAUGGAGAGCUGUGCGCAUGCGCACGCAUACGCUCACGCUCUGCUUCCUAUAUUACUACGCUACCCUCUUUGGACCUCUCCAUUCUGUUCAGGAGGAUUUUUUUCUUCUCAGGGAGAGCAGACAAAACACGAACAUGAGCAGGGUUAAAUUCUCUUUACAGUGUGGGAUAAUCAACCUAGCGGGAUAUUUUCCCUAAACUGAAGUUCCAUUACCAACAGGAGACAUAGACUUUCCACCCACAGCCUUAAUUCUUGGGCAUCUGCCUUGUUCCUCCCUGCAGAAACCAGAAAGACCAUUGUUCUGUGAGUUAUCACAGAGAGAGCCCAUAUCACAGAGUAAGGCGGAUCACGGGAGAAGCUGAGCUCAGACGGUCGGUUCGUUUCCCUUCUUCAGUUGAGAUAUAUGUGGUUCUCCUCGAUCUUUCACUCAAUUUUACAUAUACAUGCACACAUCAUACCACGUACACAUACACACACAAACACACGCACAUACACAUACACACACACAUACAGACAUAUACAUAUAUGUGUAUAUAAACUCACUGUAAAAAGAUAUUAUUGAGUCUGUGACAGACAAGUCUACUUUCACUGUUUGCUGGUCUCUUAGCAUAUGACUUACAGAUAGAAUAAAAAUCCAGGCAGGAUUUGCUCACGUUGGCCUUGGUAAGCCGGGGUAACAAGGUAACCUUAUAUACUCAGGAGUGCAGUGUGUUCUGUGCGUAGACACAGAUCCAGACAGAGGGGCUGUUUUUGGAAUUCACAUCCCUUCUAAUUUUAAAAACAAGUAUUUCCUGGCUUGCAUCAACAGAGUCUCUGACCACUGAUUCAGCUACUCUCCAGCUUCCGGGGUUUUAUUUCUCACUUUACAGGAAUUGUAAGAAAACUGAGUUAUAAAAAGCUCUCGGGAAAAUAAGAGUUUCUUCAAGGGACAAAUGCAGGGUCAGGGAGAAGACCGCACACACUUAUUUGACUCACACUGUGGAGGUGGGACUAGUCAGUAUGUGAAACAAAGUUGGCUUUGUAUACAUUCUAGAAGGUUCCUAAAAGUAGUUUUAUAUCGGUCCAUGCUUUCUCGUGCUGUUGUUGAUAGUGUGUAUUAUCUUGAAAGCCUGAAGGGAAACAAAAUGGUGUUAGGAAUUACAACAGCAAUGUCUGACCAAAUCCCAGCCCCCUUCUAUCUUUUUAUCACAGAGAAAAGGAUUCCUUCCUCUUCCCCGGAAGCUUCCAUCAUUCCUGAAGUACAAAAUGUCACCCUUUCUCAUGACUGUCACAGCAAGCCUGGGGCCCCAUCUUAGCUCCCACUCUUAUUUCUGUGCAUUCUUCUCCAUGUACCCCAGCUUUUCCUGUUCUUUCUUUGAGUCACGCACUUUUAAAUUCUUGUAUCCAGAAAUCAUACUUACCAGGUCUCAAGUGCCCUGAGCACUUGCCCUCCUAACAUGACACAAAACAAAAAAGGAAAAAGGUUUGUGCCAGGAAUGACCGAAAAGUCAGAUUACAUUAGCUGCAGUAAUUCAUAAAGCAACAUGCCUGCUAAUAUUUUGAUUCUCUUUCACACAUCUUUUUCCUUUAACUCAAUCUGAUCUAACCUCGAGUGUGGUAGUACAAUGUAUAGAAAAUAACUCCAUAAUGAAAAAGAAUAUACAAGGAAGAAAAUAAGACAGAUGACAAGGCCCUAUGUUCAGCUUACCUCGUUACUACACAGUGAUUUUUAUCUCUGGGUUCUUAAAUCCAACCUUUUUUCAAAACACGUCUCUUGGUUUUAUGGUAUGUACAUAAAGCAAGAAAGGCUUGUUUUGACAAUCAAAAAAUCUGUAGAUCAUUGUAUUUACAAAAAUUAAACCACUGAAAUUU